rnacentral:rRNA from 1 species
GCCCUUCACUACGGAAUAGCCUCGGGAAACUGAGAGUAAUACCGUAUACGCCCUUCGGGGAAAGAUUUAUCGGUGAAGGAUUAGCCCGCGUCUGAUUAGAUAGUUGGUGGGGUAACGGCCUACCAAGUCGACGAUCAGUAGCUGGUUUGAGAGGAUGAUCAGCAACACUGGGACUGAGACACGGCCCAGACUCCUACGGGAGGCAGCAGUGGGGAAUCUUAGACAAUGGGCGCAAGUGUAUCUAGCCAUGCCGCGUGAGUGACGAAGGCCUUAGGGUCGUAAAGCUCUUUCGCCAGGGAUGAUAAUGACAGUACCUGGUAAAGAAACCCCGGCUAACUCCGUGCCAGCAGCCGCGGUAAUACGGAGGGGGUUAGCGUUGUUCGGAAUUACUGGGCGUAAAGCGCGCGUAGGGGAUUGGAAAGUUGGGGGUGAAAUCCCGGGGCUCAACCCCGAACUGCCUCCAAAACUAUCAGUCUAGAGUUCGAGAGAGGUGAGUGGAAUUCCAAGUGUAGAGGUGAAAUUCGUAGAUAUUUGGAGGAACACCAGUGGCGAAGGGGCUCACUGGCUCGAUACUGACGCUGAGGUGCGAAAGUGUGGGGAGCAAACAGGAUUAGAUACCCUGGUAGUCCACACCGUAAACGAUGAAUGCCAGACGUCGGGGGGCUUGCCUUCGGUGUCACACCUAACGGAUUAAGCAUUCCGCCUGGGGAGUACGGUCGCAAGAUUAAAACUCAAAGGAAUUGACGGG